UGGUUUGAAUUUGAUUUUUUUAAUAUGAUACUAAAUUAAUGACAUCACAUUGAAGCUUAUGAAGUCGCAAUUAUGAUUGUUUUCAUUGAUUAGAGGAGUACCUCUAAAAAGAUGAGCAUUGAUCACUAUGACGUUCAAGUCAAAUGAACGAGGUGAAACUUUACAUGUAUGAAUAAGAAGAUAUAUGGGUGUGACACGUGGUCACACAUAUAUAGAGGGGAGAAUUAUAAAUGUCUUCAGUUUGCCCCAACAUAUAUUAACGAUCUAGAUGCAAGGAUGGACAAGCUCGUGUAUGAAGCAGGUAGACAAAGGUCCAUCUGGUCAUUAGUGGUGGUGCACCCUUAUUAAAUUAGGUUAGUCUUCAUGAAUUAUUGGUCAUCCCAGAACAAUAGUCUCUCAAGUCCUUGCUAUGAACUUUAAGGAAAUGACUAUUGAUGUAGAAAUAAGUAGGGUUGACCCAAAAACUGAAUCAUUGAAAGAAUAUGUCAGUUGAGAAUGUGCUCAACUGGGAAGGCAUUUAUCGUGGCCUUGAAUGGGAGUAGUUGACCAGGGAACAUGUAAAUUGAAUGCACUUAAUUCGGGUAGAACGUUAUUGUGGCGAUGAUUUCCAUGCACCACCACACGUAGAGUAGGAAGAUGACGUGCCUAUGACUACUUGAGUGUACUUAAGUGUAGUUGGUGUUCCAAGAAUUCCCAUGAACCGUUGGAUUUGGCUUUUGGAUUUCUAGUGAAUCAAGAUCGUUGAUCAGGAUAAUCAUUGUGUCUAUGGAGUGGGAACUUGAGAUUUUAUUUCAUUUUUUGACUUCUUCUUCAUUCCUCAAGUGAAAUCAGAGAGAUAUCUUUGUGGGUUAGUCACUUUCAUGUUGCUGAGAUUUCUGGAAUUUGGAUCAAUUUGCUCGAACCAUCUUGCAUUUCACUUGAGUUCUUCGAGAAUCAUCAUUAAAACACAAGCACUGAAGCAAUGGUGGUUAAUCCUGGGAAUAAAGGGUUUUAUCCCACUCAUAUCAAACCGAGGAAAGUAUGGGCAAGUUUUAUUUUCGGAAAAGUCAAGAUGACGAACUUCGUUGUUGUUGAAAAUUCGAUGGAUGACCCCCAAGUGUAGAAGAUUGAUAGGGAUUUAGAAAUCUAGUUCAAGCAUAAGGUUAUUGAGGAUGAGGUGAGUUGGUGGUUGGAAGAGAGGUUCAAAUGUUUAACUUUCAGAAGUAGUUUUUUUGUCUUUGAACAAUAAAGAAGACACGAUGAAUAAGGUGUCACCACCAACUCUAGAACUUCCUUGUGACGCUGAGAACUAUCCUUGGGUAGAUGACAAGGUCCUGGGAAUCUAGCCAUUUUACUCUCGCAAAGAUAUAAUGAAACUUCUUUGCCUAGAUGUGGGUAUGUCAUCAUAGAAAUAUGUGACACUCCCCAUAAAUUAUUAGUGUGUUAGUAGCUGGCUUGAUAUGUGCAAAUUUCAUGUAUGAGUGUUUGUUCUCCUGGAUGAGGGUUACUCUUUCUUUCAAUAACUUUGAAUUUUUUCGAUAGCCAUUUUUUCUCUUUGAAUAGUAAAGAAGGCAUGGUGAAAAAUGUGUCACCACUAACUCUAGAUUUGCCUUGUGAUGUAGAGGAUUAUCCUUGGGUAGAUGAAGAGGUCCUAGGAAUAUAAUCCUUUUACUCAGUUAAAGAUAGAAUGGAACUUCCAUACCAAGAUGUGGGAGUGUCAUUAGACUAGAAGGUGAUGCUCUUCAUAAAUGAUAAGUGCAUCUAUAGUGGGUUUGAGAUGUGCAGAUUUCCCACGUAUAAGUGUCUGUUCUCUAGAAUGAGGGUUAAUAUUACUUUCAAUAACUUUGAAGUUGAAGUUCUUAAUCAUCUCAAAAUUUCCUUUUCACAACUGCGUCCCAUAAGUUAGGUGUAUGUAAAGGUUUUUUAUUAUCGGUAUGGGUACAUGAAUAACUCUCAUAUGUUCUACGUGUUGAUGAGGUUUAAUAAUCCUGGCCAUCCUCAAGGAUUGAUCUCCUUGAAUCAAGGUCGUAAUUUUUUUGAAGUGUACAUGGAUAGCAUCAAGAACUUCAAGAAUAAGUAUUACUAUGUCGCCCCCAUUAACCUUACUGCACAUGAAAGUCUCUACAAGAUUCCAACAAGGGCGCUUGAUGAAGAAGAUAGGGUGUCAUGUGGAUAAGCAAUGGGAUGAUUUUGAAUCCAUAACGUAUGAGGGUAAUUCCUUCGAGAUUCAUAUGAGUUAGGAGAUAAAGGUAGGCCAAUCUAGAGAGCACGACACUCCCCCUCCGCAACCUAGUUGCGAGGACAAGUUCAAAAAGUGGUGGUCUCAUUAUCCAUGGCCUAGGGAGAUACACUUACAAAAAAAACUAUCCUAAGAGUAAUAUAGCUUUAAGAGAACCCUUGUUAGGUUUCGGGGGGCCUUAGAAUGUACAAAGGAAGUUGAUCAUGACGGUUCCAACCCACCCUAAAAGAAACCUUGAUAUGAUGACACUUGCCUUUUUCUCGAGGCAAGCAACAACGAGCAAAGGAAUGAAAGUUUUGGUGAUAAGUGUUUCCAUCCUCUAUUCUUGUUGUUUUAUUUUCCUAUUUUGUUGCUAUUAUUUUUGUGAUCAAAUGCAUGUCGUACUUUCUUAUAGAUGGUAUGGAUAAACUAGAUAUUAUAAUGGUCAUGAAGAAGAGAGAAAAUGCUACUAUGUCCCCAUUAGUAGUACUGGUAAUGUUUGUUGACAUUGUUGAUAGAGAUGUCUUGGAGCAAGAGGUACCAAUGGAUGUGGACGUUAGCAUAAAGGAAAAAGAUACCACUAAGAAGGGACAUGUCUUGAAAAAGGUGGAUGCUAGGAGGAAGGUUGAUGCUAGGAGGAAGGUUGAUGCACUUAAAAAGGCUUGUACAAGGGCGGUUUCCAAGCCUAGCGGUAAGAGGGCUAAUGCUUCAAAGGCCUCGAGUGAUUUGUAUAGUAGGACAAGGUCAAACAAGGCUCCCAAAACUGGCUUACCUACACUAAAAAUAUAAAAAGGACCCAAACCAAGAUUCACUAGAUUUAUGGGAAAUUAUUUUUUUUCAUAAGCACUCACCCAUUUUCAACUUCUUCUCGCCUUCGUGAACAAAAGGCACUAGGCUAUGAGGGAUUUCAUACACUUCGUCUCUGAAUGUUUCUCUGAAAAAUUCGCCAAGUUGAGUGGGACAGCUACAUGUGAGAUGAUUGUGGAGGCACUUUAUCACAUGGAAAGACUUGUUAAUAUCAACUAUUCGAUAGCUGGUGGUAAGGAUGAAGUCUUGGCCUUGGGGAAGCUAUGCGGGGAGUGGAAAAUUAUGAGAACGGGGUUGGAAACUUCCAACUCAAAUAGGGAGAAGGACCUUAAAGAGCUCGACACUGCCAAGAAGUUAAUCAAGGAAUACUCUAACAUGCAAGCCAGCCAUGAUAAGCAUUCCAAGAAGUUUUGAACUCUUUUUGAGUUGAAGAAAAAUGGAUGAGUUUUAUGACCUUACCGGAAAGCAACGUAAAUAUAUGGGCGAUAAAGAGGUUUCCCUCGACAAGCCUCAAUUUGCUCUGACCACUAAAGAUAAUGCUCUCUCGAGGGCUAAUGAAUCCCCCGCCAAAGUCCGAGAAGUUAUGAAUGAUAAGGAUGAUACUUUAAAUAAAGCUCAAGAAGCUCUAAGCAUCAAGAAAGAGGCUACCAAGGAAGCCGAAGAAACCUUGAAGAUAGUUGGGAUAGAAUGAUAGCGCUUAGAGGCAUAUCCCGAGAAACAAUGAGUCAUUUGAGAAUGGUUUGAAUCAUGUUGAGCUUAUCCAUCCUGAGGUUAAGAUAUAGCUAGCGAAAUUUUGAAAUGAAGUUUAAAGUGGCAUUCUCUUUAUAUAACUGUCUUUGCUUUGUUAUUUGUAUAGAGUCUUAUUUAUUGUCUACAAAAUGGGUUAUGAACAUUUAUGAAAUCAAAUCUUUCUAUUGUAAGAAGCUUGGUAAAUAUAGCAGUCCACUGAUGAUAUGUAUCAAUGAACUAUAUAUCUAUUACACCUUUCUAAACAUAAUCUAUGAUAAAAUGAUGUUUUAUUUC